rnacentral:rRNA from 1 species
CGCUGGCGGCAGGCCUAACACAUGCAAGUCGGACGGUAGCACAGAGGAGCUUGCUCCUUGGGUGACGAGUGGCGGACGGGUGAGUAAUGUCUGGGGAUCUGCCCGAUAGAGGGGGAUAACCACUGGAAACGGUGGCUAAUACCGCAUAACGUCGCAAGACCAAAGAGGGGGACCUUCGGGCCUCUCACUAUCGGAUGAACCCAGAUGGGAUUAGCUAGUAGGCGGGGUAAUGGCCCACCUAGGCGACGAUCCCUAGCUGGUCUGAGAGGAUGACCAGCCACACUGGAACUGAGACACGGUCCAGACUCCUACGGGAGGCAGCAGUGGGGAAUAUUGCACAAUGGGCGCAAGCCUGAUGCAGCCAUGCCGCGUGUAUGAAGAAGGCCUUCGGGUUGUAAAGUACUUUCAGCGGGGAGGAAGGCGAUGUGGUUAAUAACCGCAUCGAUUGACGUUACCCGCAGAAGAAGCACCGGCU